rnacentral:rRNA from 1 species
UGGGGAAUAUUGCACAAUGGGCGGAAGCCUGAUGCAGCGACGCCGCGUGGGGGAUGAAGGCCUUCGGGUUGUAAACUCCUUUCGACAGGGACGAAGCUUUUGUGACGGUACCUGUAUAAGAAGCACCGGCUAACUACGUGCCAGCAGCCGCGGUAAUACGUAGGGUGCGAGCGUUGUCCGGAAUUACUGGGCGUAAAGAGCUCGUAGGUGGUUUGUCGCGUCGUCUGUGAAAUUCCGGGGCUUAACUCCGGGCGUGCAGGCGAUACGGGCUGACUUGAGUGGUGUAGGGGAGACUGGAAUUCCUGGUGUAGCGGUGAAAUGCGCAGAUAUCAGGAGGAACACCGAUGGCGAAGGCAGGUCUCUGGGCAGUAACUGACGCUGAGGAGCGAAAGCAUGGGUAGCGAACAGG